UAGUCAUAUGCUUGUCUCAAAGAUUAAGCCAUGCAUGUCUCAGUAUAAGCUUUUGAAUGGCAAAACUGCGAAUGGCUCAUUAAAACAGUUAUAUUCUACUCGGUUUUGAUUCCUAUACGGAUAACUGUGCUAAUUGUAGAGCUAAUACGUGCGUAAAUCGCCGACUUCUCGGAAGGCGAGUGCUUAUUAGAUACAGAACCAAUCCUGGCAACAGGACUUCGGUUGACUCAUAAUAAACGAACGGAGCGUAUGGCUUGUGCCGGCGCUGAACCGAUCGAGUUUCUGACCUAUCAGCUUUCGUUGGUGGGGUAUUGGCCCACCAUGGCUUUGACGGGUAACGGAGAAUUAGGGUUCGAUUCCGGAGAGGGAGCCCGAGAAACGGCUACCACAUCUAAGGAUAGCAGCAGGCGCGCAAAUUACCCAAUGCCGAUACGGCGAGGUAGUGACAAGAAAUAACAAUGCAAGCCCGUUGGGUUUUUGUAUUUGGAAUGAGUAGAAUUUAAAUCUCUUUACGAAUCAAUU
rnacentral:rRNA from 1 species